AGCGAACGUUAGCGGCGCGCCUAACACAUGCAAGUCGCACGAGAAAGGGGGCAACCCCCGGUACAGUGGCGCACGGGUGAGUAACACGUGGGUGAUCUGCCCAGAAGAAGGGGAUAACCUCUCGAAAGGGGGGCUAAUACCGCAUAGGACCACCGGGGCUUUGGCUCUGUGGUGAAAGGGGGCCUCUGUUUACAAGCUCCUGCUUCUGGAUGAGCCCGCGUCCCAUCAGCUAGUUGGUAGGGUAAUGGCCUACCAAGGCUACGACGGGUAGCUGGUCUAAGAGGAUGGCCAGCCACACUGGAACUGAGACACGGUCCAGACUCCUACGGGAGGCAGCAGUGGGGAAUCUUGCGCAAUGGGCGAAAGCCUGACGCAGCGACGCCGCGUGGGUGACGAAGGCC
rnacentral:rRNA from 1 species